rnacentral:lncRNA from 1 species
UGUAUGAUUGUUAAAUGUUGAUAUUGGGUUGUAGGCUUAGAAGCCGCGCGUCCACUGUUUCUGCGCUUAAAAUCUUGUUUAUGCACAUAACAGCCAAAACGUUCGCCAUUAUGCCUUUGGCGCUCGCCAUUUGGGCCUUUUUCCAGAAUAAGAGCGUUUAACGCUAAUGGCGUUCACCAUUAGCCUAACGGCGUUCGCCAUAUCAGUUUGACAGACAGUUUUCAGAAUAAGAGCGUUUAACGCU